rnacentral:rRNA from 1 species
CCUACGGGAGGCAGCAGUGGGGAAUAUUGCACAAUGGGGGAAACCCUGAUGCAGCAACGCCGCGUGGGUGAAGGAGCGUUUCGGCGCGUAAAGCCCUGUCAGCGGGGAAGAAGAAAGACGGUACCCGACCAAGAAGCCCCGGCUAAUUCCGUGCCAGCAGCCGCGGUAAUACGGAAGGUCCGGGCGUUAUCCGGAUUUAUUGGGGUUAAAGGGCGCGUAGGCGGGCUUUUAAGUCAGCUGUGAAAGUACGCGGCUCAACCGUGGAAUUGCAGUUGAAACUGGAGGCCGUGAGUGCACACAGGGAUGCCGGAAUUCAUGGUGUAGCGGUGAAAUGCUUAGAUAGCAUGAAGAACUCCGAUCGCGAAGGCAAGUGUCCGGGGUGCAACUGACGCUGAGGCUCGAAAGUGCGGGUAUCAAACAGGAUUAGAUACCCGGGUAGUC